UUCCCCUCACUUGGUGUCUAGCUGUCGCUCUGGCAACACCUUCAUAUGCAAGCUCUCACUUAUGCUUGGCUCCUUAAUUCCAUGUGAUCCAACAAGAAGUGUCGGCCCACUGUUUUCCACAUGCACACAUCGGGGAAUCCACAGUGCUCCCUGUUUGUGCACGUGUCCCUACCUCCGCUCCCAUGCCAGACAAUCUUAACGGCUCUGGUCCCGUGCUCACAUCUAUACAGUUGACAUCACCACUGCAUUCGCCCCUGAAGAGUUGGUAUAUCCCAACGAAACGCGUUGGGAAUACAUAGAUGCAUGAUGUUCAUACAGAUGAUUUUAUGUCUUUUAUACUGUUUUACUCCCAGAUUCUCAUUAUACUAUCUAGCCCCUCCAGUGGUUCAUGUUGUGCAGGACUUGUCCUUACUCCACGAUAUGCCAAGUACC